AACUUUCAACAACGGAUCACUUGGCUCUUGCAACGAUGAAGAACGCAGUAAAGUGCGAUAUGAAGUGCGAUUUGCAUGAAUCUGUGAGUCAUGAUAUCUUUGAACGCAACUUGCGCCCGGUAGCGGGCAUGUCUGUUUGAGGGUCGCGAAACAGUGGGGGAUUGUAUCAUUCUCUGAUGUGCCGGCAUUGGAUGCGGGUGGAAAGCAGCAUGGUAUGGGUUGGAGGACUGCGGCCUGUGGCAGAGAGCAAUGCUCUUUCAGGGUGUCAGUACUAGAACACAUAAUAUAUUAAUCACACGACCUCAAAUCAGGCAAGACGACCCGCUGAACUUAAGCAUAUCAAUAAGCGGAGGCU
rnacentral:misc_RNA from 1 species